rnacentral:rRNA from 1 species
GUGAGUAAUGCGUAAGAAUCUACCUAUUUGACUGGGAUAGCCUAUGGAAACGUAGGGUAAAACCGGAUAUGCUGUACGCAGUAAAAGUGGGAUGUAAGUCCUGCUGCUAAUAGAUGAGCUUACGUCGGAUUAGCUAGUUGGUGGGGUAAGAGCCUACCAAGGCGACGAUCCGUAGCUGUUCUGAGAGGAAGACCAGCCACAUUGGGACUGAGACACGGCCCAGACUCC